CCAGGCUCCAAACCCCCAAUCCCCACAGCCCAGCCGCGCCAACUCGCAAACCCCCAGCAAAUGGAGGGGGUGGCGCCCGCCGUCUCGCUGUUCCGCCCGCGCCCUUCCGCGCGCUUCCCCGUGCUCCUCGCUGCGGAUUCCGUUGCCGCCCGCAGGAGCCCCAGUGCAGACGGGUGGAGCGGGGUUUCGAUGCGAAGCCUUGAGACGUCUCCGCCUAGAGCAGGGAGGAGCGCGGUGCGGAAGCACGGCAGUACUGAGUCCGCGCCUCGCCGAUCAGGAAUCACUAGAGUUCCAAGGCUUGGCCCUGCAGUUUCAACUAAAAGAGCAGGAAGGCGUAAGGAUCCACUUAUUAAUUUGGAGGUCUCUCGUCAUAGAGCGGCAGUUGCAGCGGUGAGGUUGCUAAGAAUUGAGAAGGGGAAGGCAUUUGUUGACCUUUUGAAUGAGAAAGCAAAUGAUUCUGGAGAUAAUGAGAUGGGCUAUGUGGAGAGGACACUAGGUUUCAGCACGCGGUAUUUGGAAGACUGGGAUAUAAGACUGGUUACUGUCAUAGUUGCUGGAACUGUGCGUUGGAAGCGCUACCUUGAUUAUCUUAUCAUGUCACUAUGUAGUGAGGAGAAGGUGUUCAGGGAGAUGGAGCCACUGCUUCUGCAGAUAUUGCGAAUUGGAUUUUUUGAAAUUCUCAAGCUUGAUGUACCAGCUUAUGCUGCCGUCGAUGAGAAUGUAAGACUUGCUAAAGUAGCUUUAAGGCCUGGUGCUGGGAACAUGGUGAAUGCGAUUCUGCGCAAACUUCUAUUGCUAAAGGAAACAAACUCUCUUCCUCUUCCAAAGAUAGAAGGUGAUGAUCGUGCCCAGGCUCGUGCUCUUUCCAUAAUCUAUUCUCAUCCUGUUUGGAUGGUGAGAAGAUGGAUACGACUCCAUGGAAAAGAUGAAGCUCUAAGAUUGAUGAAUUGGAAUAACAGUGAUCCCCGUUUCAGUCUAAGGGUGAACACAUCGAAAGGCUAUACAAGGGCUGACCUUGUAAAACAAUUGGAAAGUUUACAGGUUCAUCAUGAAGAGUCAGUUAUGGAUGAAUUUGUCCGCAUUCAGGAAGGGAUGCAGGCAGUCUUACAAGCUGGAUUACUAAAAGAUGGCAUGUGUGCCGUGCAAGAUGAGAGUGCAGGUCUUGUAGUUUCUGUGGUUGACCCACAACCUGGGGAUACCAUCAUCGAUUGCUGUGCUGCCCCUGGCGGAAAGACUCUGUUCAUGGCAUCACGAUUGUCAAGACAAGGAAAGAUAAGAGCUCUAGAUGUAAACAAAGGUCGCUUGAGAAUACUCAUGGAUGCAGCAAAGCAACACAGUCUUGAUGAUAUGAUCACUGACAUCCAUGCUGAUCUUCGACUAUAUGCUAAGGAAACCACAGCUAAAUAUGACAAAGUAUUGUUGGAUGCUCCGUGCUCUGGGCUGGGAGUCCUUUCCAAGAGAGCAGACUUGCGUUGGAAUAGACAGUUUGAAGAUUUGGAAGAAUUGAUGUGUUUACAAGAUGAGCUUCUUGAUUCGGCAUCAACGUUGGUAAAGCCUGGUGGUAUACUAAUCUACAGUACAUGCUCGAUUGACCCUGAAGAAAAUGAAAAUAGGAUUACUACUUUUGUCCAGAGGCAUCCGGAAUUUACUAUACAAAAUGUAUGCGGAUAUGUUCCUACAGAAUUUCUUACAGAUGAAGGUUUCUAUUCCUCAACUCCAACUAAGCACUCUAUGGAUGGGGCAUUUGCUGCUCGUCUUGUCCGGUCAAUGCACUAAGAUUCUGGGAGUGCCACAAGGCCACAACUAGCCUGCAUUAAGAAGCAUGGUGCUUUGACUUCACAAAAAGAAGCAUGGUCAAAAUUCAUGCAAUAUUGCUUCCUGUACAGCAACCAGAUUAGUGUCAUCAUGAACAAGAAUGCUGAGGCUUCCCUGACAAACUCAAUUUUGAUGAUGUGUACGAUAUUAAUAUAUGUUGCAAGCUAAGGAUUGGAGAAUUUAUGGGGAGCAUGCUAUCAAUGUUUAGUGAUGUUUCAUCCUACUGGAGGCACUUGAGUGCUGAUCCAUGCAUACCACAUACACUCAUUCACGCACAUCAGAGUGCCCAUUGGCAAACAGUUAUGGCAGCUGCUAGGCAAUUUCUGGGUUGGAACUUCCGAGAUGAAGCUGGGACUUCUUCCGCUUGGCAUUUUCUACUGUCUACAAGACCGGUUAGUGUUUCUUUUUGAUCCAUCUUAUUUCUGUCAUAAUAUAUUUCUUUGAUCCCAUGAACUUAUCUAUGCUUUCUUUGAACUUAUCUAUGCUAUUGUUUCCCGUUCAUGGGAUUAUAGUAGGACUGUGCGCACCGGCACAUUUUUUUCGGAAAAGAUAGCAGGAGCACUGUUCUGUCAUUUAAAAAGAAAGCAAUUGUACAUCACACGCCGAAGCGAACACCACCACCACACAAACAACGCACACAACAAAACGCUACACCGCCACAACGCACACAACGUACCAGCACAUAUUGCUAAGCAACCAGUCACGGAGUACAUGCAUGUUUGCCUUUUGGCUUCUACCUUCUGGCCUCUUCAGUGUCGCAUUGCAAUUUGCGAUGAGCAUCAUUGGCUGCCUCUUUCCAUGGGAGGUAAUGUCCACUGUUCGAGAUUCAUCCUCAGAU